rnacentral:piRNA from 1 species
UCUGCAAAAUAAAGAAGCAAAAGCUACCGUU